rnacentral:rRNA from 1 species
AAACUUUUAACAACGGAUCUCUUGGCUCUCGCAUCGAUGAAGAACGCAGCGAAAUGCGAUAAGUAAUGUGAAUUGCAGAAUUCAGUGAAUCAUCGAAUCUUUGAACGCACCUUGCACCUUUUGGUAUUCCAAAAGGUACACCUGUUUGAGUGUCAUGA